rnacentral:pre_miRNA from 1 species
AGUGGAAUAGCUGGGUCAUAUGGUGGUUCCAUUCCUAUAUUUUUAAGGAAUCUCCAUUCUGCUUUCCAGAAUGGUUGGACUGAUUUGCAAUCCCACCAACAAU